UACGUAGGGUGCAAGCGUGUCCGGAAUUAUUGGGCGUAAAGAGCUCGUAGGCGGCUUGUUGCGUCAGCUGUGAAAACCCGCAGCUCAACUGUGGGCUUGCAGCUGAUACGGGCAGGCUUGAGUUCGGUAGGGGAGACUGGAAUUCCUGGUGUAGCGGUGGAAUGCGUAGAGAUCCGGAAGAACACCGGUGGCGAAGGCGGUCUGCUGGGCCAAGACUGACGCUGAGGCGCGGACAGCGUGGGGAGCAAACAGG
rnacentral:rRNA from 1 species